rnacentral:rRNA from 1 species
GACGUAGGUGGCGAACGCUAUCCGGAAUUACUGGGCGUAAAGCGUGCGCAGGCGGUUCGCUAAGACCGAUGUGAAAUCCCCGGGCUUAACCUGGGAACUGCAUUGGUGACUGGCGGGCUAGAGUAUGGCAGAGGGGGGUAGAAUUCCACGUGUAGCAGUGAAAUGCGUAGAGAUGUGGAGGAAUACCGAUGGCGAAGGCAGCCCCCUGGGCCAAUACUGACGCUCAUGCCCGAAAGCGUGGGGAGCAAACAGG